rnacentral:tRNA from 1 species
AUUCGUAUAAUAUAAUCAAUUAUAUUUGACUUCCAAUCAAAAGAUCUAACUAAUUUUAGUACGAAUA